UACGUAGGUGGCAAGCGUUGUCCGGAUUUACUGGGCGUAAAGAGCGCGCAGGCGGUCAAGUAAGUCGAAUGUGAAAGCCCCGGCUCAACUGGGGAGGGUCGUGCGAUACGGGCGAACUGGAGGCCAGUAGGGGGAUGCGGAAUUCCGGGUGUAGUGGUGGAAUGCGUAGAGAUCCGGAGGAACACCAGCGGCGAAGGCGGCACCCUGGACUGGUCCUGACACUCAUGAGCGAAAGCGUGGGGAGCGAUCCGG
rnacentral:rRNA from 1 species